GCUGUUGAAGGCCCACGGGCGUGACUGCACCCCUCACUAAUUGGUCAUUGGUUUGGGGAGGACACCACUGUCCCAGUGGAACCUUGAGCACACCUUGGAGCCCUCCUCUUCCUCUCCGGACCUGCGCCAAACUGCCAUCCUGCAGCCACCAGAACCUUCCACAUGAAAUGAAAGGCUCACCACUUCAUAGGCUUUAAGGAAAUUCUUGGCCAGGUGUGGUGCCUCACUCCUGUAAUCCCAGUGCUUUAAGAGGCCAAGAUGGGAGGAUUGUUUGAGCCAGGUGUUUGAGACCAGCCUGGGCAACAUCGUAA
rnacentral:antisense_RNA from 1 species